rnacentral:tRNA from 1 species
GUAGCUCAGUUGGUAGAGUGCUUGCCUAGCAUGCAUGAAGUUCUGGGUUCAAUCCUCAGC